rnacentral:lncRNA from 1 species
CACCGGUGUACAAGUACAAAUCUCCUCCCCCGCCGGUUUACAAGUACAAGUCACCACCACCGCCGCCAGUCUAUAAGUCUCCUCCACCACCGGUGUACAAGUACAAAUCUCCUCCCCCGCCGGUUUACAAGUACAAGUCACCACCGCCACCGGUGUACAAGUCGCCUCCUCCACCAACAAAGCCAUACAAGUACAAGUCUCCACCACCACCAGUCUAUAAGUCACCACCGCCACCGGUUUACAAGUAAAAACCCCCCCCGCCACCGGUGUACAAGUAUAAGUCACCGCCGCCUCCAGUCUACAAGUCUCCUCCGCCACCAGUUUACAAGUACAAAUCACCGCCGCCGCCAGUCUAUAAGUCACCACCGCCUCCAAUGAAGCCAUACAAGUACAAGUCACCACCACCGCCGCCGGUUUACAAGUCUCCUCCUCCGCCGGUGUACAAGUACAAAUCACCGCCGCCGCCAGUCUAUAAGUCACCACCGCCUCCAAUGAAGCCAUACAAGUACAAGUCACCACCACCGCCGCCAGUCUAUAAGUCUCCUCCACCACCGGUGUACAAGUACAAAUCACCACCGCCACCGGUUUACAAGUACAAGUCACCGCCGCCGCCGGUGCACAAACCACCUCCACAUUACAUCUCUGCGUCACCCCCUCCACCAUACCACGUCUAGAUGAGUCAACCCCCCAAGGUAAUACUACUAAUCAACAACUCAUAUCCAAUCACUGAAUAAGGGGCCGUUUGACAUAGAGAAAAUAUAUUUGUAUUUGUGGGAAAAUUAUUUAUUUUGAAAUUAACAUAUUUGCAUUAGUGACAAAUAUCACAAAUAUUUUUAGUUAUCAUUGGUUUAUCUUAUUCUGAAAAACAAUAACGUAAUUCUAAUUUCCUCAAAUAAAAAAUUUAGUUCUAUUAUUUAUGAAAUAUACAUAUCAAACAUUAUAGCCUAGCAAGUUUUUAUUAAUUAAUAAUACUGACCCCUCUCUCAACAACUCGAGCUAUUGGAGAUACGAUGAUCGAUUUUGGACAUGGUAUCAUAGAUUUAAAAAACCAAGAGGUCUCCUUUUCAAAUCCCGACAGUCUCCAUUCCGUACAUAUGACUUAUCGUGUGAACCUCAUUUCUUCUUAAAACUUCUGUCUGAAGGGCAUAUUAAUGAAUACUAUAUACAAAAUUGAUCUGAACCUUCCCCCAACAACUUACAAUGCAACGAUUCAUGACAAUUUUCUCGAUUUAGUACUCGAUACUCGGUACGAAACGGUGCCUUAAUUACUAACUUGUGUCUUGGUCCU